GACAGAGGCAGCGGACAGACAGAGUACAAGGGACAGAGACCCAGCAUGGCACAUGGACAGGGACUCAUUUGGCCGGGGCUGUGUCUGCAGCACAGAAGGACAGGAGAAGGGUCCCGGGAGGGCGGCAAGUUUGCCCUUCAUCUUGGAAGGCUUCUUGCAUUAGUGGGUCCUGAGAACAGGGUGCAUGAGAGUAAACUGUUUGAAAGUCUUACCGGGUGAAGACAUGGCUCGUUGUCCUCACGGAGUCCACGCUUGGCUGGGAACAGAACACCAGACGGAAGGCUCUUCCCUCACACACUGAAGGUGCCGCUCCUCUGUCCUGCCAUCCCAGUGCUGCUGGCGAGAAGUCUCAGCUCAUCCUCUUGGCUGGUCACUGUGUGCGAUUCCCUGCUUAACUUAACAAGUGGACAGGCAGCCAGUGCAGGAAGCACCAGGACUCCGCCACCAACUGAAUCAGAGGAACACAGGCAAACGUCAAGAUGAGGGAGCAAAGUGCAAUCUCAGACCUCAGCUCACCCGGAACAAGUCCAGGAGACACAGACACAAAUGAAAUUAGAAGGCACACACUUGAAAUUUCUGAAAUGAUGGCAAUCAAAGUAAAGAAAAACUUUAGUCCUUGUAUCAUCUGAUUGACUUUGCAUGCCUAAGUCUGGUGGUCUGAGCAACUAUUUAGAGAAUAACAAUGUACAUUAUAGUAAUUAAGGUGGAUUUCCUAUUUGUCUUGCUUUUGAGUUCUAUGUUGCUCUCAUUGUUUUGUUUUGCUUUAUUGUUUUAUUCUCUUUAAAAUAAAAAAAAUAAUAAAUAAGUAAAAAAAUUACCUAAGCCAAAAAUUAUUUUUUUUAAGUUUAUUUAAGGAGAAAAGAAAAAAAAAGCAG